UACGUAGGGUGCAAGCGUUGUCCGGAAUUAUUGGGCGUAAAGAGCUCGUAGGCGGUCUGUCGCGUCGGCUGUGAAAACCCGGAGCUCAACUCCGGGCCUGCUUUCGAUACGGGCAGACUGGAGGUAUGCAGGGGAGAACGGAAUUCCUGGUGUAGCGGUGAAAUGCGCAGAUAUCAGGAGGAACACCGGUGGCGAAGGCGGAUUCUCUGGGC
rnacentral:rRNA from 1 species